ACCCUAAACCUAAACCCUAAAC
rnacentral:siRNA from 1 species